GGCCGACUAGCUCAGCUGGUUAGAGCGUCGUGCUAAUAUUACAGCCACGGUAAAAAGUUUAGCUCCAUAAUGGAUUAUGCCCUUUGCCGCGCUGGUAUUACGCGAAGGUCUUGGGUUCGAUCCCCACGUUGGCCA